rnacentral:rRNA from 1 species
GUAACACGCAGUCAACCUGCCCUGGAGACACGGACAACCCCGGGAAACUGGGAUUAAUCCGUGAUAGGUCAUCUCAUCUGGAAGGAGAGAUGGCUUAAAGGGGCGCGCGGGCUUCUUCUGCGCGUUCGCUCCAGGAUGGGACUGCGUCCGAUCAGGCUGUUGGCGGGGUAAUGGCCCACCAAACCUGUAACCGGUACGGGCCUUGAGAGAGGUGGCCCGGAGAUGGACACUGAGAGAAGGGUCCAGGUCCUACGGGGCGCAGCAGGCGCGAAACCUUCGCAAUGCGCGAAAGCGUGACGAGGUUAAUCCGAGUGGCCUCCGCUGAGGAGGUCUUUUGUCAGCUGUAAAUAGGCGGGCGAAUAAGGGGAGGGCAAGCCUGGUGUCAGCCGCCGCGGUAAUACCAGCUCCUCGAGUGGUCGGGGCGAUUAUUGGGCCUAAAGCAUCCGUAGCCGGUUCCGUAGGUCCUCUGUUAAAUCCAACAGCUCAACUGUUGACCUGCAGAGGAUACCGCGGGACU